AACGCGAAGAACCUUACCAAGGCUUGACAUAUGCCGGAAACACCUGGAGACAGGUGCCCCCUUGUGGUCGGUAUACAGGUGGUGCAUGGUUGUCGUCAGCUCGUGUCGUGAGAUGUUGGGUUAAGUCCCGCAACGAGCGCAACCCUUGUUCUGUGUUGCCAGCAUGCCUUUCGGGGUGAUGGGGACUCACAGGAGACUGCCGGGGUCAACUCGGAGGAAGGUGGGGACGACGUCAAAUCAUCAUGCCCCUUAUGUCUUGGGCUGCACACGUGCUACAAUGGUCGGUACAAAGGGCUGCGAUGCCGCGAGGCGGAGCGAAAGCCCAAAAAGCCGGCCGUCAGUGCGGAUUGGGGGGAUUGCCACGAGACCUCCAUG
rnacentral:rRNA from 1 species